AUUGUGUUAUCGAGAAGGGAAAGAGUUCAGGGAAGAAUUUAUUUCCUUAUUCAUUGGGGCACAAGCCUGAAGGCAGAGGAAAGCUGCUUUCAAAAAGGUGACUUCACCCACCACAGCAGGUGGCAGCUCGGGUUGUCUCUACAAGGGGCUUUUGCGUUCAUUUAGGUAUUUCUAGCACCGAGAGCCUGAAGGGCUUGAAAACCCAAGCACAAAUCAGAACAGGAAACUGCGUGCAAGGCGGAGGCCCUUCAGUUGGCAGCGACUGCCCGAGCUCUGCAGGGAAAAGCGUUUCCAGAUUGAUGUGUGCAGCCCUUCAGCAGCUCACUUAGCAGCUGUGUGCUCUGCACCCAGUUACCCUGCAGGACGCCUGCCUGGAGAAAACAUUCCCAGCUUGUGAAACUGAGCGAGCCAUCAUCACAGAGGGCUCUUAGAGUAAAUAGAUACGAGGAGGACUAGCUCUUAAGCAGGUUCAAAAGCAGUCCUGGCUUCUAGAUGCAGAGGCCCAGCUGAGAUCAUCAUGGAGGAGCACAGCUGAAGGAAACCUCAGCCCCCUCAUUGCCCAGCAGGACCUGGGAGCACUCAGAAUUCACAAGGCAGAUGCACAUUGUAAGGUAUAAGGGAAGGAACAUCUCUGCAAGACCUGUACCAGCCCAAGCAGCUGCUCUACAGCAAUUGUCUACAGGCUAAAACUCAGCUCUAUGGGACUUGACUAAGAAAGUCACAAUGCAUCACCUUCCAAUUGCCCCACUGCUCUCCGUGUUGGUACCAGCAGGACCAGGCUUGUUGUGAAGGGGAGAGUAGAUGUCAGAUUUAUUCCAGGGAAGGAGAGAAAGCACCGUGAGUAAUGGUGAGUAAUCUGACAUUUAAUUGUGAGUAAUUAAAGUGUGUCAUAGUUGGGCUGCGACGGUGUAAAGAGGAACAGAAUCGGAUCCACUGGAUUUGACAUUUAGUGGCUUGCUCUGUGUCAUUUGGGAGUGACCCUGUUACAGGAGUGCAGUCACGAGGGCUGAAAGUUGGGGCAGAGUCUGGUUUCAUUUUAUGGGAUUGCUGGAUGAUGGGAUGAAUGGCUGUAAAUGUAUCACCCACUGCUGUCUGUCCAUCCCUGCAUCAGCUCAGUGGUGAGGCCUCUGCCUUGUCCCAGGCAUAGAAUUGUGGAACAUUUUGGGUUGGAAGGGGGGCUCUUCAAGGCCAUCUAGUCCAAAUCCCCUGCAAUGAACAGGAACACAUCUUCAUCAGGUUUGCUUUCAGCAUUUCUGCACAUCUGACAUAUCCCCUGGUAGGGACAUGAGGUCAGCGCUGGGUAUGAGUUGGCUUCUGGGCCCAGGGAAGAAAACCCCUUCUGCCAAAGGGAAGAGGGGCGAACUGGCUGGAAAAGAGCCAUUCUUCUGCAGAACACUGCAAUGAAAGCCCUGCCUGCUCCCACGUCAGAGGGUUGGUGAGAACUGAACCCAGAAAGGAUUGCCAAACCUUCCACAGAGGAAGCAACAUCAGAAAAAGCCAUCUGUCUCAGCUGAGGGACUGAAUGGUGACUUUAAAACCAUACAGUUAACUUCACUUAAUUGUCCUAUUUGCCUAAAGCAAGUGAUUAAAGGAGGGCAUUCUGUACGUUGUUUGCAUAGAAAUCCACUUCUCCCUGCCCAGCCGUGCUUUGAAGGAUUCACACUUGGACUGCAGAGUGAAGGCAAAGCACUUUGCUCUAUUUUUAUUUUCUGUGCUGCCUUGAAAAUGGCUAGAAAAGGCAAAUGGGAGCUUUAAACAUUGGCUGACACCUUAAUUGCCACCUAGCAAUUAAUGGCUACAGGCUUUCUUGGGCAGC